GAACUAUUACAUGCCCUGAGAUACAGAAGCACGCAAGACCAACAAGAUCCAUGAGCUUACAUUUGAAGGCAAAGAAAGCUGGAAAAUCUUAUGAAAUCUCUCCCCUGUGAGAAACCAGCCACCAUGUUGUAAGCAGCCCUGUGGCGAGACCCACAUGAGGAAGACCAGGGCUUGCCAACAUCCUCUGAAUGCACGUGGAAACAGAUCUCUGUCCCUCCCCUCAAGGCCCAGCUGUGCAUCCAAAUGAGAUCACAGCCUUUGUUGACAGCUUGACAGUCUCCUCAUGAGCCAGAGAAAUCAGCUAGGUGACUCUCAGAUUUCAGACGCACAGAAACUGUGAGAUAAUAAAUGCUUAUUGCUUUAAAUGCUAAAUUUUUGGGGUUAUUGAUUAUGCAGCAAUAGAUAAGAUAGAUGAAGUGUGCAAUGGGAAUGAUAAAUUCUACAGUGGGCCCUAGGUCACUGUAAACAGGAGCCACAGUGAUAUAAUCCCAAGUCUCCAGUGUGGCAUGAGGCUGAGAGCAUACUAGGGUUUAUCUAACUUCUUGGUUUUGAGUUUCUUUCCAUUUCCCUAGGCUGAGGCUAAAUUGGGAUUUGCUAUGGUGAGAAUGUGUCUUCUAAAUUUCAUGUAUUGGAAACUUUCCCCAAAUUUAUAUAUUAAUGAUAUUUGGAGGUAGGACUUUUGAGAGAUAACUAGGAUUAGAUAAGGUCAUAAAAGUGGGGUCUCCAUGAUGAGACUCAAGGCUUUAUAAAAAGAGGAGGAAGGAACUGAGUUGACGUGCUCUUGCCCUCUCGCCAUGUGGUACCUUCUGCCAUGUUAUGACACAUUAAGAAGGCCUUCAUCAGAUGCGGCUCCUUGAUUUUGGACUUCCUAGCCUCCAGACUGUAAGAAAUAAACUUGUUUUCUUUAUAAAUUACCCAGUCUAUUGUAUUCUGUCAUAG
rnacentral:lncRNA from 1 species